UACAGAGGGUGCUAGCGUUGUUCGGAAUUACUGGGCGUAAAGAGUGUGUAGGCGGUGCUCUAAGUUCGGUGUGAAAUCUCCUGGCUCAACUGGGAGGGUGCGCCGGAAACUGGAGUGCUUGAGCGUGGGAGAGGAAAGCGGAAUUCCUGGUGUAGCGGUGAAAUGCGUAGAUAUCAGGAGGAACACCUGUGGCGAAGGCGGCUCUCUGGUACGUGA
rnacentral:rRNA from 1 species